rnacentral:rRNA from 1 species
CCUACGGGGGGCUGCAGUAGGGAAUCUUCCGCAAUGGACGAAAGUCUGACGGAGCAACGCCGCGUGAGUGAAGAAGGUUUUCGGAUCGUAAAACUCUGUUGUCAGAGAAGAACAAGUUGGAGAGUAACUGCUCCAGCCUUGACGGUAUCUGACCAGAAAGCCACGGCUAACUACGUGCCAGCAGCCGCGGUAAUACGUAGGUGGCAAGCGUUGCGCGGAGCUAUUGGACGCAAUUCCUUAACAGGGAGGUGAAAGCCCACGGCUCAACCGUGGAAGGUCAUUGGAAACUGGGGAACUUGAGUGCAGAAGAGGAGAAUGGAAUUCCAUGUGUAGCGGUGAAAUGCGUAGAUAUAUGGAGGAACACCAGUGGCGAAGGCGACUCUCUGGUCUGUAACUGACGCUGAGGCUCGAAAGCGUGGGGAGCAAACAGGAUUAGAUACCCGAGUAGUC